rnacentral:lncRNA from 1 species
GGAUAAUUCCUUUGUCUGUCGAAAAGCAAUGGAGUGUGAGCUACCUCUCAUGUGAAUGCGUGUGACCAGCUCAUGGCACUCUGCCAGACCACUGACUCAAAGAGCCCUUAUGAGCCCCUCCUUUACAGUAGAAGCCUCAAACAAGAUUCUAAAGACAGCUGACAUCUAGUGGAAGCCUUYGGAAAUGCAACAUGACCAAUAUCCCACUGUAUCUUCAAUAGGGAAUGAGUUGAAAAUCAACCAACCUCAGAUUUCUCACUUCCUGGUUGGAAUUUUUCUCAGGUUUUUGCCUGCCAUAUGAGUUAUGUUAUUCUCACAGACAUCAUUCAAACAGUUUUAGAAARGUAUUAGUACCUGGGACUGAGGAGCAGGCAGUUUACUCUGGGCACCUUAUUCAUCCAAGUUACUCAAUACUGCCCCCAGCCAUAAGAAGUCAUAGGCCAUAGGUUUCUCUCUCUCCCUCCCUCCCUGAGUGCUCAAAGUUACGUCCUUCUGUCUAGAAAGAUCUCCCAUUCAGGAAGAGGAGUGUUGUUCACUAGUGCUUUAAGAAUCCUCUUAACCAAGAAUCACAUGACCCAUCUGCCCUAUAGGCUAUUACCCAUCAGCCACCUCCCAGUCCCAGCCAAUAUGUCAUGUCCUUAGCCUCUUCAGAGCAGCUCAAGAAAAGACCAUGCUAAUCUCUCCUCUAGCAGACAGGAACCAGAAGGAGUUGUGUUGAGUGUUGUGUGAUGUGUUGGAGGAGCAGUCUCACAGGGAACUGUUUGCCUUAGAGCUGGGCUCUGGCACCAGACAGCAUGUGGUCAACUUUGCCAUGGCAACGCCCUUCAUCACUUGGCAACGCCCUUCAUCACCUGGCAACGCCCUUCAUCACCUGGCAACGCCCUUCAUCACCUGGCAACCGUCAGACAUCAAAGAGGAGUCCCGUGACAGGAACCCAGGGUGGGGUCUACCAGACAUCGACGUUCUGAGACAGCUCUGUUCCCCUACAGGAACCCAGGGUGGGGUCUACCAGACAUCGACUUCUGAGACAGCUCUGUCCCCUACAGGAACCCAGGGUGGGGUCUACCAGACAUCGACGUUUCUGAGACAGCUCUGUUCCCCUACAGGAACCCAGGGUGGGGUCUACCAGACAUCGACGUUCUGAGACAGCUCUGUUCCCCUACAGGAACCCAGGGGGGGGCUACCAAGACAUCGACGUUCUGAGACAG